UUUACAAUUUCUAUUCGAAUUUUAAAGAAUUAACUGUACAAAUUUGAAUUUUAAACAAGCUCACUGACCAGCAAUUUCGGACUAAAGUUUUUCAAUAGAAAGGAGGAUACAUAGUGCUGCAGACAUUUUGGCCUAGUCAUUGAGUUUUCACUUCUGUCGGCACUCCCGGAGUGCAAUCCGUUGUUUUUUUGUAGCUAUAAUAGCAACGACUUUUAGCAAUAUAGUAUGCCAUAUUUACUUCAAAGUUCAUUGUCUUCGAGAUAUUCGACAUCAAGUUGAACAAUUUUAGGCCAACAACCUGGUUUUCAGGCCAUAGCUUUUGUGUUAAUUAUUUUAAAAUUUACAUCUCUGACCAGUUUUUAGAGACGUCAAAGACAAACCCAAAUAUGCAGAUUUCGUACAUGUAAGAUCCUUCACAGCAAUCCAGCUACGAAAAAAGUGUUAUUUUUAGACAAUGUUUAAAAAAAUCAUAAAAAAAUAAGUAUUCAUUAGUUUCAAAAUCCGGUAGACAAGAAUGGAGAUUAAAGAUUGAAGAAUCGGUAGCCAUUUGUCUUAUAAUUCUAUCUGAAGUGUAAAUGUAGAAGUAACGGCUCAAACCUUGUCAAAUAUCGAUGAAAACCGCGGGGAGCCCCUUAAGUGACAGAUCCAGGCGGUUUUGUAUUUGGUUGGUUAAC